rnacentral:rRNA from 1 species
AUUGAACGCUGGCGGCAGGCCUAACACAUGCAAGUCGAACGGUAACAGGAAGUAGCUUGCUUCUUUGCUGACGAGUGGCGGACGUGUGAGUAAUGUAUGGGAAAAUGCCUGAUGGAGGGGGAUAACUACUGGAAACGGUAGCUACUACCGCAUAACGUCGCAAGACCAAAGAGGGGGACCUUCGGGCCUCUUGCCAUCGGCUGUGCCCAGAUGGGAUUAGCUAGUAGGUGGGGUAACGGCUCACCUAGGCGACGAUCCGUAGCUGGUCUGAGAGGAUGACCAGCCACACUGGAACUGAGACACGGUCCAGACUCCUACGGGAGGCAGCAGUGGGGAAUUUUGCACAAUGGGCGCAAGCCUGAUGCAGCCAUGCCGCGUGUAUGAAGAAGGCCUUCGGGUUGUAAAGUACUUUCAGCGGGGAGGAAGGGAGUAAAGUUAAUACCUUUGCUCAUUGACGUUACCCGCAGAAGAAGCACCGGCUAACUCCGUG